ensembl:lncRNA
AUCUGCUGUUCAGGCUGACUCAUCUAGUCUGGAGGAGGGGCUAUCUUCAUUUCUAAUUGAGGCUGUGGAGUCCAGGGACGAGACCUGACUGACUUGUCUCAGAGAUACUUCCUGAACAGUCUUUCUCUCACCGUGGACCAAAGGUUUGGCCAGAGCUAUGUAGCUGUCAAGCUCUAGAGAAAAUGAGGGGCGUAUUUCUAAAAGGGCAGAGGAGGCAGACAGGCGGAUGAAAAUAUCAAACGGUUCCAGCGUGCACUGAAGGAUCAGAUGUGUGGAGAGCAGAGGCCAGGGGACUGACUGCAGGGGGAUUGCCAGCUCCUCUGAGAAGCCUUUCCCAGAGGCCUGCUUUGGCUCCUGACGUCCUUGUUCGUGUUCUCUGUAGCCGAUGGCAUGUAUAUUACCUAAUCACAGCAGCUUUGAAGGUGAAAGUUCCUCUGGUUCAUCCUGUUUCCUUCCUUCCGGUUGUGAACAUGGACUUACUGUUUGGAUGAAGAAAUGAAGAAACGGGAGAAAUACAGACAUAGAGAAGGAAGGUCAGAGGUUCUUCCUAGAAAUUUGUCUUCCAGUGAGGCAGUGGGCUUCAGAACUCCAAGAUCAUGCAGAAGAGCACAUGAGCGUCUGCUCUCAUCAGCCAGGGUGGCUGGUUCCCCUCACACUGGGAAUCUUAGUGCUAAGCUCUCAAAACCCAGUACUGCAAUAGAGGAAGGUGUCAAGACUCUUCUUCCAAUGAGACAGAUGUUUCUACUUUUCAAGCAGUUCUCUCUUCCGGACAUCCCAUGACCAUCUGUUUAAGUACACAGAAGAGAGUUUGGACUCAGUCAACAAUGAGCUGGUACUUCUGAGGUUCCUGUUAAUAUUCUUGCUGCUGUGGGCUUUGGAGACCUGCAGUAAUCGUCUACUCAGAGGUGACUUCUGUACUCCCCU